UUGGGGAAGGCCCUUGAGGCUGAAGUACAUGAUUCCAUGCUUCCAAGAAAAGCAUCUAGAGAGAGAAGUAGUGCCCGUACCGCAAACCGACACAGGUAGAUGAGGAGAGAAUCCUAAGGCCGGCGGAAGAAUUGCAGUUAAGGAACUAGGCAAAUUAACCCCGUAAGUUAGCGAGAAGGGGUGCCUGCGAGAGCAGGCCGCAGAGAAUAGGCCCAAGCAACUGUUUAGCAAAAACACAGGUCUCUGCUAAAGCGCAAGCUGAUGUAUAGGGGCUGACGCCUGCCCGGUGCUGGAAGGUUAAGGGGAACACUUAGCGCAAGCGAAGGUGUGAACUUAAGCCCCAGUAAACGGCGGCCGUAACUAUAACGGUCCUAAGGUGGCGAAAUUCCUUGUCAGGUAAGUUCUGACCCGCACGAAUGGCGUAAUGACUUGGGCACAGUCUCAACUGCAAAUCCGGCGAAGUUGUAGUGCGAGUGAAGAUGCUCGCUACCCGCGAUUGGACGGAAAGACCCCGUAGAGCUUUACUGUAGCUUAGCAUUGAAUUCCGGUAUUGUCUGUACAGGAUAGGUGGGAGACUAGGAAACUAGGGCGUCAGCCUUAGUGGAGUCGUCCUUGGGAUACCACCCUGACAGUACUGGGGUUCUAACAGGACGCCAUGAAUCUGGUGACUGGACAUUGUUAGGUGGGCAGUUUGACUGGGGCGGUCGCCUCCUAAAAAGUAACGGAGGCGCCCAAAGGUUCCCUCAGAACGGUCGGAAAUCGUUCGUAGAGUGCAAAGGCAGAAGGGAGCCUGACUGCGAGACCUACAAGUCGAGCAGGGACGAAAGUCGGGCUUAGUGAUCCGGUGGUACCUCGUGGGAGGGCCAUCGCUCAACGGAUAAAAGCUACCUCGGGGAUAACAGGCUGAUCUCCCCCAAGAGUCCACAUCGACGGGGAGGUUUGGCACCUCGAUGUCGGCUCGUCGCAUCCUGGGGCUGUAGUAGGUCCCGAGGGUUGGGCUGUUCGCCCAUUAAAGCGGCACGCGAGCUGGGUUCAGAACGUCGUGAGACAGUUCGGUCCCUAUCCGUCGCGGGCGUAGGAAAUUUGAGAGGAGCUGUCCUUAGUACGAGAGGACCGGGAUGGACUGACCUCUGGUGCACCAGUUGUUCUGCCAAGAGCAUGGCUGGGUAGCUAAGUCGGGAAGGGAUAAACGCUGAAAGCAUCUAAGCGUGAAGCCUCCCUCAAGAUGAGAUUUCCCAUAGCAUAAGCUAGUAAGACCCCUUGAAGAACACGGGGUUGAUAGGUCAGAGGUGUAAGUGUGGUAACAUAUUUAGCUGACUGAUACUAAUAGGUCGAGGGCUUGACCG
rnacentral:rRNA from 1 species